rnacentral:rRNA from 1 species
UAGAGUUUGAUCAUGGCUCAGGACGAACGCUGGCGGCGUGGAUUAGGCAUGCAAGUCGAACGCGAAAGAGGGAGCAAUCCCUCGAGUAGAGUGGCGAACGGGUGAGUAACGCGUGAGAAACCUGCCUUCAACAGGGGGAUAACACUCCCAACGGGGUGCUAAUACCGCAUGAGACCACGGGAUCGCAUGGUCCUGAGGUCAAAGGUGGCCUCUAUUUAUAAGCUACCGGUUGAAGAUGGUCUCGCGUCCCAUUAGCUAGUUGGCGGGGUAAUGGCCCACCAAGGCGACGAUGGGUAGCUGGUCUGAGAGGAUGGUCAGCCACACUGGGACUGAGAUACGGCCCAGACUCCUACGGGAGGCAGCAGUCGAGAGGCUUCGGCAAUGGGGGAAACCCUGACCGAGCGACGCCGCGUGGAGGAUGAAGGCCCUUGGGUUGUAAACUCCUUUUGUUGGGGAAGAAAUGCGAUCAGGUGAACAAUCUGGUCGUUUGACGGUACCCGACGAAUAAGCUCCGGCUAACUCCGUGCCAGCAGCCGCGGUAAAUCGCC